ACCACACAAUACAUACGCACAAACACACAACAAGUCUCACGCCUCUUUCUUCUCCUCUCCCACCUUCACUGUAAUCUCAUCCAUCGGAGCGGCCAUUUCCGGCGAAUCUCCCACCACCACAGCACCACCGCACGCCGCCUCUUUCUUCUCCUCCCUCACCAGCCGCCGCUCAAACCCUCCCCAUUUCCGUCAGCAGCCACCCGAAGCCUGCAGCGCCGCCCCUUCCCCCUCUCUUCUCCGUUGCUGCUUCGCCGGAGGUUAUGACCGGCGAAGCUUGGCUGCUUCCAUUGCAUUGUCACUCCUUUACCCUAUUUCUUUGCACUUUAUUUUUAAUUUUCUCACGGAUCUGGCCGGAUUUGGUUAUCCGGCGUCGCUCCGGCGAACUCCAUUGUGCCGCUGCCAUUAUGUCGUUACCGCCACUAUUUUAGUGUUUUGUCUUAUUUUUGUUUAUUGUGAGUAUUACGUUGCUCCGGUGAAGCUCCAACUGUUCUUUCUUUUUCACGACUUUGGUUGAUUGCAUUUAUUUAUUUCACUGAUCUUUUCGUUUUGAUGAUUUUGAUUGAUUGCAUUUAUUUAUUUUUCUUUACGAAGCUUGCUUACUGUUAUUAAAUUGUCGAUGCAGUUAUUUUGAAAUUACUUGCUUACUGUUAUUAAAUUGUUGCUACAGUUACUUUAAAAUUACUUGUGCUUUGCUACUG
rnacentral:lncRNA from 1 species